rnacentral:misc_RNA from 1 species
AGCACGAGUAGUGCGGCAGGGACGUACGUAAGCCUACAUAUACACGUACAUGUACGAGUACAGGUGUCGUUACCGUAGCAGCGGUGAGUUUCCCGUGCUGCCUAUCCUUCUUAGCUGUCACCAGUCUGCUCUGCUAAGAUGCCAACUGUCAUUGGUUUUGAGGGAAGCGCCAAUAAGCUUGGCAUUGGAAUCGUUAGAGAUGGAGUAGUGUUAUCUAACCCAAGACACACCUACAUCACACCACCAGGCCAUGGAUUCAUGCCAAGAGAGACUGCCAAGCAUCACCAGGCUCAUGCCAUCGAAAUUCUGAAGAAAUGCAUGGAGGAGGCUGGACUGAAACCAGACGAUAUUGAUUGCGUUUGCUACACCAAAGGGCCAGGAAUGGCAGCCCCUCUGAUAUCUACCGCCGUUGUGGCGAGGACUAUUGCUCAGCUGUGGGAUGUUCCUAUCAUUGGAGUCAACCACUGCAUCGGGCACAUAGAAAUGGGAAGGCUUGUAACUGGUUCCCACAACCCGACUGUGUUGUAUGUUAGUGGGGGAAACACACAGGUCAUUGCCUAUUCACAGCACAGGUAUCGUAUCUUUGGUGAAACCAUUGACAUCGCUGUGGGGAACUGUCUAGAUAGAUUUGCAAGAAUACUCAAGUUAUCAAAUGACCCAAGUCCAGGAUACAACAUCGAACAAAUGGCUAAGAAGGGAAAGGUGUACAUUGAGUUACCCUACACGGUCAAGGGCAUGGACGUCUCCUUCUCUGGUAUCCUCUCCUACAUCGAGAACGUGGCUCACAAAAAGUUGACGGCAGGAGAAUGUACACCAGAAGACCUUUGCUUCUCCUUACAGGAGACAUUGUUUGCCAUGCUUGUAGAGAUAACAGAGAGAGCCAUGGCGCAUUGCAACUCCAACGAGGUACUCAUUGUCGGAGGUGUUGGCUGCAACGAGAGAUUGCAGCAGAUGAUGAGGGACAUGGCCGUGGAGAGAGGAGCAGUGGUGUGUGCGACAGAUGAGAGGUACUGUAUUGAUAAUGGAGCCAUGAUAGCCCAAGCUGGAUGGGAAAUGUAUCACUCAGGAUAUAGGACUCCUCUUGAGGAAACAUGGUGUACUCAGAGAUACCGAACUGAUGAAGUUGAAAUCACGUGGAGAAAAUAACAGUCAACAUGUAGCCAAUGGUAAGAGGGCUGCCUGUGUUUGUUGGCCUCCCCCCCAGGCAGAGUCAUGAGGCGCUGUUUGUUCAAGACUUUCUGACAGUUUGUGGGAAAAGCAUCAAACUCACAAGGUGAGGUUUGAAGCCGUGACAACCUGCUGAGAUUGGUGUCACCGUUAACAGGUGUGAUGGAGGAUUGUUACAGCCUAAACCAAUGAGACAGCGGGCAGAAAGACAGCGCUCAGCUGGCUACUGACCUGUGACUGGAGGCAGCUAGGAAGAACUGGCUGCUUGGAGAUGAAAAUAAGCAAAGAAAAACCCUAGCAACACAUCAGAAGAUUCAAUGCACUGUGAACAGGUCAAUUAAGGUGGAGUUAAGAAUAAUAUCUGUUGAACUUUGAAAAAAGUGGGCUGUGUUGUAAUUACAUGGCUAUGCAACCAGAAUCGUUAGAGGGUGCCCUCGGGAGACCACACUGUUAGGUAUUAUAAAUUAAUACGAGUAGAAGAUUACUUGAAUUCAAUCAUGUUUGGCAAAAAUCAGAAAAAAACAGACACAGCUGUGACCACUUUGUUGUAUUUUUUCCUGUACAAUUCAUUGCAUUGAGAUAAUUUUAUUACUCUUACAUUAAAAGUUGAUCCAUCACAGUUUCCAAGUGGCCCAAACUUGGAAACUGUGAUAUUUGGGGCAUUUUGGCAAGGAAAAGAGGCUUAGAACCUAGGAGAAUAGGUUUGAAUGAAAUGCGCUCAACUUUCUGGUGUUUAUGACUUUUCAUAGUAAGCUUCUUGCAAGUUAAAUUUGAAUAAAAUCUGGUGCAGUGUGUUUUUCAAAUUCAGUGAACUUUCUUUGAAUUCUCCAUA